rnacentral:rRNA from 1 species
AACGUAGGAGGCGAGCGUUAUCCGGAUUUACUGGGUGUAAAGCGCGUGCAGGCGGUGGUGUAAGUGGAGCGUGAAAGCGCCCGGCUCAACCGGGCGAGGACGUGCCAAACUGCACGACUGGAGGUAGGUAGAGGCGUGUGGAAUUCCGGGUGCAGUGGUGAAAUGCGUAGAGGUCCGGAGGAACACCAGUGGCGAAGGCGACACGCUGGGCCUGACCUGACGCUAAGACGCGAAAGCAUGGGGAGCGAACGGG